CGUGUCUGUGGUUGAAAGUCGAUGCCAGUCGCAGGCGAAACGAUCCACGUAAGUCGGGCAAAGCCCCGGUGAGCAUGGUGCGGCUUAGAAGUAAGUCCGUCCAGAAGUCAUUCUGAGAAAAGUAGUAGUGGGGGGGCCGAUGCCCUAGUAGCGAACCUUUCAGGCGGCGAGUGUGGGGUCAAAGACCAGGUCAGGCGAA
rnacentral:ncRNA from 1 species